AGUUUGGUAGGUUAAUUUCAAACCGCAGUAUUGCAAAUACUGAGAUAAUGUUGUAUCAUUUGUGCUCG
rnacentral:tRNA from 1 species